CAAAUAUGAACGGCACUCUGCUGACAACGCAGCGACCCCGAUGUGGAAACACGGGCAAUAUGGAGGGACACUUAGCAGACACGUUGCGAGUACGUUGCAGCAGGGAUGCUUGUAUUAAGUUUAUUGCUCCCGUCUUAAAGAAUCAUCUUGGCCAUACGGAUCAAUUUUACUUGGAUUUUUUGCUGUCAAAUUUAUUAGGAAUGGAAGAGGAAAAGCAGUCAAUAGCCAUUUCACUUUCCUUUCUCUGAAGGCCAUUCACGGGCGAAGUGUUGGUUGCUGCUCCUAAGAAUUGACCCACAAUCUGCUAUCUGAUGAACUGACCCACAUUCUGCCAUACUUCACCCUGCUCUAUGGAAGGGUGAGCUCUCGGGAUAAAACUGAAAUUGAGAAUAGAUCAUAUGGAAUUGCUUUAAUAAGAUAAUUGCUCCAUCUAGGGACU